CAGCAGCCGCGGUAAUACGUAGGGUGCAAGCGUUAAUCGGAAUUACUGGGCGUAAAGCGUGCGCAGGCGGUUUUGUAAGACAGAGGUGAAAUCCCCGGGCUCAACCUGGGAACUGCCUUUGUGACUGCAAGGCUGGAGUGCGGCAGAGGGGGAUGGAAUUCCGCGUGUAGCAGUGAAAUGCGUAGAUAUGCGGAGGAACACCGAUGGCGAAGGCAAUCCCCUGGGCCUGCACUGACGCUCAUGCACGAAAGCGUGGGGAGCAAACAGGAUUAGAUACCCGAGUAGUCCCUGUCUCUUAUAC
rnacentral:rRNA from 1 species